rnacentral:misc_RNA from 1 species
AAGUCGUAACAAGGUUUCCGUAGGUGAACCUGCGGAAGGAUCAUUAAAAAAUUAAUUUGGAUGGCUCGCUCCCAUGAUGAAGUAAAAUUCUCCUUGGGGCGUUGCCACACAAAUCCAAAACCCACCCCCCAUGUGCACUUGUAAUCUGUCAAAUAAGCGAAUUUUUGUUCACUUGAUUGUCUUUUUCCUCUUGGAAUGAGUGGUCGGUGGGCACUUUCGUUGACAUUUUCCAACAAACCUUUUUGUAAAUAAAAUAACUGAUGCCAUUUGAAAAAUUAAUCAAAUACAACUUUUGACAAC